AGGGUGCAAAUGUUGUUCAGGAUGUUAAGAACGAUCAAUACUCUGCUAGAAAGUUUAUUUUCAGCGUUGUUGAGACCUGGCAAUCCUUCAGCUGCUGAUCACUAUAGAUGACAGAUGAAAAGAAAAUGCAGAUGGCAUCUCCCUUCACAGAACUGGAAUGCUACAUCAUUAUUUUUUCUCUGCUAGUCUUUAGCCUGUUUACGCUGCAUGGCAUGAUACACGAGCGAUGCCCAUCUCCAGCAGUGAAAGUAAGCGAAGAACGUCAAGACCAACUCAUAGUCUGAAUCUAAACCUCUUUAGGAAUGAAAGCUACACCAACAGACUUUGGAUAAAUGCACUUGUAAAACUCGAUUUGGAUCCUGGAGAGCAUAGCAGAGCUUUGCUUGUGUGUUGGAACGUGUUGGGAUUUCUUAUGGCAUUUACAGAAACGGAAAGUUCAGGGACUUGCUCCAGGUUCACUUGUUGCACUUUAUAACCAUCAAUAGAGACUGAUAGUGAGUAUGUGACUUUAUUUGUCUAAAGGGCAAGUCUUACAGAUGUUAGGGAAUGAAAGGUGUGUGAAUGUAAUGUGCUGACGUGGUUUGUUAAGCCUCAAACACUUUGGGAAGAAGUGUAUAGCGUUUGUAAAACACAUUUUUAACACACAUUUGCACUCUCAAAGAUGACUGGAGACUUUUAAUUCUAAAGAGCGUUAUGGAUAUUCCAUUCUCAGGCUUAGAGCUGGUUUUCACCGUCUUAGCCUUCACUGUAUUCUGUGUGUUUGGCCUGGCUGCUGUCUUUACAUGCAGCCAGCACACUGACAACCAAGGUGAAAUAAUUUUGCUAGAGCAGAAAACAAGCCAUCAUACGAGCAGACUUAAAAGGAAACAGGAAUUCCAACCAUCAAAAAAGUAACCUCCAUAAACCCUUUAGAAUUUAUGGACCUGAUGAAUGAAUCCCAUUGAACAACAUUGUUACAGCAUUAUGUCGAAAUACAAUAAGAUUUCACUGCUGGGUUGGGAGCAAUUCACCAAACCAAAAUAUCCACCUAAUCCGACCUGCUCUCAAAAACUGACCACUGAUUAAAGGCUAGAAUGUGUGAUUGAUGCACUUUACUGGUACAAAUACCAGCAAAGUAUAUUGUCUAUAAAUUUACCAGCAGGUAUACACAAUUGUGAAAUACAUCGCUGAUACACUUAAAUAAGCACAAAACACAUUUUAUGCCACUACAGUGUCACUGCUCAGCUGAGAUUGGUCCUUCGCCCAAAUUCCCUCUUGGGCAACAUUGUUCCUAUGGUGGAAAAGAAAAAAUAAGUGAUUGUAUAAGAGAGGAGGUUAGGAGUGAAUAAAAUGUAAGCAGAAGUGCAUGCAGUGGGGUGUGUAUUUGUUAUCUGUUACGGUUAUAUUUUAAUUACAGAGAAACUCUGGUCUAAAUAAUGUGCAGCUGUUUUAACGCUAAUACAUAACCCUUUCACAAUUUUAGCUACAUUUAUUUUAUUAUUAUAUCAAAUCUGCACUGUACAUUAUUUCUAUUUAAAUGUGAUGUGUCAAUAAAUUAACCAAUAUGCCAAAAAAAAAAAACCCACCCAAAAUUUACAUUUUAUUUCUGCAUUGAGGCGAAUAUACUGCCCUCUGCUGGCAUUUACUUCAUUAUGUUCAGAAUUAGUGUACACACACACACAUUUUGCAUCCAGUGAACAAAGAUUUUAGAGUUUAUUUAAUCCAUUAAUAAAGAACUAUUUUAUAAUUUAUUUAUCAUUGUUAUUAUGGUUAUUUAUUUUGACAGUUUUUAGACAUUUGCAACUGGAUCACCAGCUCAAUGGAUACAUAGCUGUACUCUAAA